GACGAACGCUGGCGGCGUGCCUAAUACAUGCAAGUCGAGCGGACCACUUCGGUGGUCAGCGGCGGACGGGUGAGUAACACGUGGGCAACCUGCCUGUAAGACUGGGAUAACACCGGGAAACCGGUGCUAAUACCGGAUAAUCCUUUCCUUCACAUGAGGGAAAGCUGAAAGACGGUUUCGGCUGUCACUUACAGAUGGGCCCGCGGCGCAUUAGCUAGUUGGUGAGGUAACGGCUCACCAAGGCAACGAUGCGUAGCCGACCUGAGAGGGUGAUCGGCACGACUGGGACUGAGAAACGGCCCAGACUCCUGCGGGAGGCAGCAGUAGGGAAUCUUCCGCAAUGGACGAAAGUCUGACGGAGCAACGCCGCGUGAGCGAUGAAGGCCUUCGGGUCGUAAAGCUCUGUUGUCAGGGAAGAACAAGUACCGGAGUAACUGCCGGUACCUUGACGGUACCUGACCAGAAAGCCACGGCUAACUACGUGCCAGCCGCCGCAGUAACAC
rnacentral:rRNA from 1 species